GGCUACCUGGCGCAAUGGUAGCGCGUUUGGCUUCGAUUGCCGACGGCUACAACGUGACUCACACACCGUGUGACGUCACGGUCACGGCACCAAAAGGUUGCAGGUUCGAGUCCUGCGGUGGUCA